UCUUUUACUAGCUCUAACAAGUCCAAGAGCGGGACUUUUUUUGGCAGUCCCCCCUCCCCCCCCCAAAAUUAUUUUUCAUUUUUGAAUUGCUUUUUUCAUUGAAAACCUAAAGGAAUGAAAAAUGUAAAUCAACUAAAUCCCUAACGCCCAAAAUUUAUCUCUAUUUUCUGGAUCAAUUACUCUGGUACUUCAUCGACUUCAUAUUCUUUUUGUAUUGACUGCAACUCGACAACGAUAUGUUAUUUCUCCAAUAAAUUAAUGAAGAACACCAAAGACAUUGAGGCGUUGUUGCAGCUGCAUAGAUGUUGUUUUUUUCUUCUUCUUCAUCGCCACUCGUUAAUGGAAUAGGAAUCACUGGGCACGCCUUUUCUUUUGAAACUGAAGAAGCCAAAAGUUAUGCCUUCGAGCUCAAGGUCCCUUCUAAUCUCUUUGUUUUAUGUACUUAGAUAAAUUGCAAAUGCCUAUUAAAGAUUGUUUUCAAACAAUUUUUCGCAUUAGGUGCUUUGUGAAUUAUUAUUAAUUUUUAGGAGAAUUUAAUUUAAUAGUCAUGUUCUUUUGGUUGUUAAAUUAAUUCUCUCCGGAGAAUAAAACUUACUCUCAGAAUACUGUAGAUCUGAAAAGAAAAGACAAAUCUUGAGAACUGUCGCUAAAAGAAGUAGUAAGAAAGAAAGCUUCAAAAUGUUAGUGGAUUCAAAGAACUUUGGAUACAUAGUUGCUUCAAAUAGUCUGAAAAGUUUGAUUGUUGCUAACUACAUAUGCAGAUAAAAGAAAGGAGAAAAGACAAAUAAAUUAUUUUAUUCUGAUAAGUACCAAACAAAUCGAAUAUGCAAACCAUAAAGCCAGUGUUGAAACCUUAAGUAAUAAUUACUCUAGCCAUGUGAAUCGGGCUACAUGUUUCAAUUUGCUCUUUUUGUUAAAUUAUCUAUUCAAAUUACUCUCUUCAAAGAAGGGGUUAUUGGGUUGUUUUAUAUGAAUUCUUCAUAGUAGGGGAUAAAACAGAUGAAAACUAAAAAGGCACCAUAUUUUUGCCUACAACUUAUCAAGAGGGUUUUGGGUACAUGUAUUAGCAUUAUAUUUAAUUAUUUAUUACCCCUCUAUAAUAUAAAAAAAAAAUCGAAGUCAUGUAUGCACAAAUUUACUUUGUUCUAAUUGGAUUUCUAGUAUAAUGUAGCUCUUAGGAGAGUUAAGGACCGAAGAUAGUGAGAAUUUUACUUUUGUGAACAGUUAUAUACCAUUAUGUCUCUUCUUGCACAAAUAGAUCAGAAACUAUUACAAGAUACUAGAGAAGCUAUUUGUAGUGCAGUGCAAAAGCUAAGUAUUAAUCUUAUUGUGCUAGGUUUUCGUGGAACUUGGAAACUUAAAAAAAUUAUUUUCUAUCCAUGAUGCCGCUGCUGCCGCUGGUGGAUAAGUUUCUGCUACUGAGCGAUACUUAGUUCAUCUUGAAUGAGAUUAGUUUUAUUAUAAAUUGGUCUUCUUCUUCUCUUCAAGAUUCUUAUGUCUACAUCAUUAAGAUGAUGUUCAAUAGAGAAAAAUUAGUUUGUAAUAUCUAACUUGAUAUUAGCAUAAAGUUUGGUGCAGAUUUUCUUAAGGCCAGGUUGGAGUUAGGUUUGUACAUUAUAAUAUGCUUAAGAUACUUAUUUGUUCUACUUAUUUCUUAAUGUACUGACUAGGUACUCGAGGCAAAUACUGUCCAUGAACGAGCUACAUAAACAUCAUGAAUGCCAUUUCAAAGUAAGAUUCCUAUUCCUUUUUCAUAUUUUUGAAUGUGUGUUUCUUAUUCCUGUUCUGCAACUUGCUAUCUCUGCAAUAACCUUGGUAGUUAUGAAAAUCUUGUUUUUAGUCAUGUUGAUAGUUCGUUAGAAUAGCUAUUAAAUUCUUAUUUUCAGUCAUGUUGCUAGUAUGUUGGUGAAUGUUUUUAAAAUUUUAAUAUGAUUGGAGAGCUGAUGUAAUAUGUUGGUGAAUGUUUCCCUCUUCUGUUCUUUAUCUACUUUCAUUUACACUUCAAUAAUGCCUUCUUUUUUAUUCUAUUAUUCAUCUUCAUCCUUCUUGAGUUCGAUCAGUAGUGCAGAAUUUAGUUUGUCUGACAAUACCCUAGAGAUGUGAUAGAAAGUUUGGGUAAUUAAUUUUAAAUAACUAUUUCUCCCACGAUCAUAUAUUUGUACAUGUGUAUUCUUCAGAGUCAUUCCUUAUUGGAUAUUGUCACUUUAUCUUCCAGCUUCUUGGAUUCAUUUACUCAGAUUCAUCGGUGUAUGAAUGGAAUAUAUAAGAAUUUAUUUUAUGAUUCUAGUUAUAAAGAUUACGAGGAUGCUCCUAUACUCAAGGUGAGAAAGAUCAAAAGUGCUAAAGUUGCUAUUGCUUAUCGUAGUUCGACUCUGCAAAUAUCAAGUACCAAAGCGGGAAGCAGAAAGACAGUGAAGAUACUUCAGAUAGACGACUCUGUGAGAACUCAAAGUUGUAGGCACAGACAACUUUGAACCUCAUUCAAGUGGUAAAAAGAAAACAUAUGGGGAAGCUGACAUUAAGUUAUUUGAAGGCUUUAAUCUGCUUCCAACUUUUUAUGUAUUCGGUUAGUGUUUGUGGUUCCAAUGACUAUCUUACUUUGCCUUGAAAUUAAAAAUAAUUGUUAUUGAAAAUGUAGGUCAUUUUUAUAUCAUCCUUGAACAAGUUUUAUACAAUGGGUAUCAUCUUCUAACUCCCAUGUGAACUUUUAAGUAGAACUUGUUUGAAGUACUCUUUAAUUGCCCUAAUAAAAAUGAAAGCAAAACGUGUUUGUAUCUGCACUUAUCUAAUAGUGUA
rnacentral:lncRNA from 1 species